AAUAUACUCCCUCUGUUCCAUAAUUCUCGUCGAAAUCUUACAUGUAUCUAGACACUUUUUAGGAAUAGAUACAUCCAUUUCUGGGCAAAUUUGAGACAAGAAUUAUGGAACUGAGGGAGUAGUAU
rfam:Brachypodium distachyon strain Bd21 chromosome 5, whole genome shotgun sequence.